GACGAACGCUGGCGGCGUGCUUAACACAUGCAAGUCGAACGGAAAGGCCCUGCUUUUGUGGGGUGCUCGAGUGGCGAACGGGUGAGUAACACGUGAGUAACCUGCCCUUGACUUUGGGAUAACUUCAGGAAACUGGGGCUAAUACCGGAUAGGAGCUCCUGCUGCAUGGUGGGGAUUGGAAAGUUUCGGCGGUUGGGGAUGGACUCGCGGCUUAUCAGCUUGUUGGUGGGGUAGUGGCUUACCAAGGCUUUGACGGGUAGCCGGCCUGAGAGGGUGACCGGCCACAUUGGGACUGAGAUACGGCCCAGACUCCUACGGGAGGCAGCAGUGGGGAAUAUUGCACAAUGGGCGGAAGCCUGAUGCAGCAACGCCGCGUGCGGGAUGACGGCCUUCGGGUUGUAAACCGCUUUCGCCUGUGACGAAGCGUGAGUGACGGUAAUGGGUAAAGAAGCACCGGCUAACUACGU
rnacentral:rRNA from 1 species